rnacentral:rRNA from 1 species
UACGGGGGGGGCAAGCGUUGUUCGGAAUUACUGGGCGUAAAGGGCUCGUAGGCGGCCAACUAAGUCAGACGUGAAAUCCCUCGGCUUAACUGGGGAACUGCGUCUGAGACUGAUUGGCUCGAGGACAGGAGAGGAACGCGGAAUUCCAGGUGUAGCGGUGAAAUGCGUAGAUAUCUGGAGGAACACCGGUGGCGAAGGCGGCGUUCUGGACUGUUUCUGACACUGAAUAACGAAAGCCAGGGGAGCAAACGGG